CCAAUAGCGUAUAUUAAAGUUGUUGUGGUUAAAAAGCUCGUAGUUGAACCUUGGGCCUGGCUGGCCGGUCCGCCUCACCGCGUGUACUGGUCCGGCCGGGCCUUUCCCUCUGUGGAACCUCAUGCCCUUCACUGGGUGUGACGGGGAAGCAGGACUUUUACUGUGAAAAAAUUAGAGUGCUCCAAGCAGGCCUAUGCUCGAAUACAUUAGCAUGGAAUAAUAAAAUAGGACGUGCGGUUCUAUUUUGUUGGUUUCUAGGACCGCCGUAAUGAUUAAUAGGGACAGUCGGGGGCAUCAGUAUUCAAUUGUCAGAGGUGAAAUUCUUGGAUUUAUUGAAGACUAACUACUGCGAAAGCAUUUGCCAAGGAUGUUUUCAUUAAUCAGGAACGAAAGUUAGGGGAUCGAAGACGAUCAGAUACCGUCGUAGUCUUAACCAUAAACUAUGCCGACUAGGGAUCGGAUGAUGUUAUUUUUAAUGACUCAUUCGGCGCCUUACG
rnacentral:misc_RNA from 1 species